rnacentral:rRNA from 1 species
GAUUAUGGCUCAGGAUGAACGCUGGCGGCGUGCCUAAUACAUGCAAGUCGAGCGAGAAUCAGCAGACCGGAGAUUCGUCAAAGUGAAGCUGAGGAAAGCGGCGGACGGGUGAGUAACGCGUAGGCAACCUGCCCUUAGCAGAGGGAUAGCCAUUGGAAACGAUGAUUAAAACCUCAUAAUGCUGUUGAGACACAUGUUUCGACAGCCAAAGAUUUAUCGGCUAAGGAUGGGCCUGCGUCUGAUUAACUAGUUGGUGGGGUAACGGCUCACCAAGGUGACGAUCAGUAGCCGACCUGAGAGGGUGAUCGGCCACAUUGGAACUGAGACACGGUCCAAACUUCUACGGAAGGCAGCAGUAAGGAAUCUUGCACAAUGGGGGAAACCCUGAUGCCAGCAACGCCGCGUGAACGAUGAAGGCCUUAGGGUUGUAAAGUUCUGAUCUGUGGGAAGAAGAAGUGACGGUACCACAGGAGAAAGCCCCGGCUAAAUACGUGCCAGCAGCCGC